GGCUGGUCUGAAGGUAGUGAGUUAUCUCACUUUGUUCUCACAUUAUUUUAUCUCACAUUGUUCACAGUCAGUUACAGAUGGAACUCCUUGUUCUACUACUUUCCCCCCUCCUCACUACUGCACUUGACUAGUCUUAA
rnacentral:Y_RNA from 1 species